UACGUAGGGGGCGAGCGUUGUCCGGAAUUAUUGGGCGUAAAGAGCGUGUAGGCGGUUCGGUAAGUCUGCCGUGAAAACCUGGGGCUCAACCCCAGGCGUGCGGUGGAAACUGUCGGACUAGAGGAUGGUAGAGGGGAGUGGAAUUCCCGGUGUAGCGGUGAAAUGCGCAGAUAUCGGGAGGAACACCAGUAGCGAAGGCGGCUCCCUGGGCCAUUCCUGACGCUGAGACGCGAAAGCGUGGGGAGCAAACAGG
rnacentral:rRNA from 1 species